AGACACAGAGGUAACCCACAAAGACAGCCCUACAGACAGCAGUCAUACAGACACAGACUCCUCUCAAAGACAGACACAGAGGUAACCCACAAAGACAGCCCUACAGACAGCAGUCACACAGACACAGAGGUAACCCACAAAGACAGACACAGAGGUAACCCACAAAGACAGCCCUGCAGACACGGACAUGUUGUUGAUGUUGAUUGUGCAAACAGUAACGUUAGAAAGACAGACAGACGCUGUUCAGCCACAGACUGAGCAGGAUGAUGAUAGAUCUGUUCACACCCUCACAGACACUCUCCAUAAAGAUAGUAUCAGUCAGACAUCACACAGACAAAGAUGUCGGCCAUCUUUACUAUGGUCUACUGUAGCAAUGACAGUGUGUUUUUUUAACAUUAAUAUUAUGUCUGUAUGUAAUUAUGAAUGCGUAACUUUUCUGUGGUUUACAUACUCUGUAUAUUACAGAGGUUUAUCAAGCUUUUGUAAAUAUGUAGUUUUUAUAACUGAAUUAAAGUUAUGUAUGACUUGA